UACGGAGGGUCCAAGCGUUGUCCGGAAUCACUGGGUGUAAAGGGUGCGCAGGCGGGCCUGUAAGUCAGAGGUGAAAGCCCACGGCUCAACCGUGGAACUGCCUUUGAUACUGCAGGUCUUGAGUCCUGGAGAGGCUAUCGGAAUUCGUGGUGUAGCGGUGAAAUGCGUAGAUAUCACGAGGAACACCGGAUGCGUAGGCGGAUAGCUGGACAGGUACUGACGCUCAGGCACGAAAGCGUGGGGAGCAAACAGG
rnacentral:rRNA from 1 species